rnacentral:rRNA from 1 species
CCUACGGGUGGCAGCAGUGAGGAAUAUUGGUCAAUGGCCGGAAGGCUGAACCAGCCAAGCCGCGUGAAGGACGAAGGUGCCAAGCAUUGUAAACUUCUUUUGUCAAGGGACAAAAUCAGGCUCGAGAGCCUGACCGCGGGUACUUGAAGAAAAAGCAUCGGCAAACUCCGUGCCAGCAGCCGCGGUAAUACGGAGGAUGCGAGCGUUAGCCGGAUUUAUGGGGAUCAAAGGGUGCGUAGGGGGACUGUUAAGUCAGCGGUAAAAGCCCGGGGCGCAACCGCGGAUAGCCGUUGAAACUGGCUGUCUUGAGAAGUCGAGAGGUAUGCGGAAUGCGCAGUGUAGCGGUGAAAUGCUUAGAUAUUGCGAAGAACUCCGAUUGCGAAGGCAGCAUACCGGCGGCGAUCGGACGCUGAGGCACGAAAGCGUGGGUAUCGAACAGGAUUAGAUACCCGAGUAGUC